rnacentral:lncRNA from 1 species
GAGUAUAUGAGUAGAUUCAUAUGAGUAGUUAGGAUAUGAGUUCUUAGGAUUUGAGUAGUUAGGAUAUGAGUAGAUUCAUAUGAGUAGUUAGUAUAUGAGUAGAUUCAUAUGAGUAGUUAGGAUAUGAGUUCUUAGGAUUUGAGUAGUUAGGAUAUGAGUAGAUUCAUAUGAGUAGUAAGGAUAUUAGUAGUUAGGAUAUGAGUAGAUU